rnacentral:lncRNA from 1 species
AUAGACCUGCUAACACCUACUUCUGUGUCUGACAGGCCGGCUUUACAUGUGCUUUGAUUGACACCCUCACCCUCAUCCCCACCCUCUACUGUACCUGCCAAGCUGGGGUAUGGGCGUUGCCCCUGGAGCAGAAGCAUCUAAAGUCAUGAGGGGGCUAGAUGUUGGAGCAGCGGAUGAAGAUGAAUGAAGGGGUCAGCUUAUCCAUCAACCCCUAGCACAAUGCUUGGCAUCCAAACAGGCUCAGACAGGUUCCCAACACAAGUAAUUGAAAGCUGUGUCGGAAUGGCCGAAGGAAGACCUGUCACUCAGACAUGCUAUGACAUGGGAGGACCUUGAGGACACUGUGCUAAGUGAAAUAAGCCCUCAGAUGGUUCCAUCCAAAAACUCAGAUACCCAGAGACAGAGAGCAAGCUGGUGGCUGCCAAGGGCUGGAAGAAUUGGUGUUUAAUGAGGAUGACAAUUUGAGAAGAUGAAACCAUUUUGGAGCUGGAUGGUGAGAAAAUGCCUUUAUAAGACUGGCCUGUCGUGGUGUAAAGGUGAUGCUGCCAGGAUUGACAGCCUGGAUCUAAGCUCCGGAAUCCACAUUACAGAAGGAGAGAACUGACUUCCAAGUUAUCCUCUAACGUCGACACUCACAACAGGGCAUGUGUA